UUCUGUUACUCACACUAUCUUGGGACCUGGACAUAGUAGGCCUAUUACCCUGAUCCUUCCUAAUUCUGACUGCGGGAGUACUGGAUGAUGAAGGCUCUAGCACAAGUGAAUGAUUUUGGGACUGAGGGCGAUUCUCUCCAGAAAAUCUAGUUUGACCAUACCCCUGCUGCUCUGAUCUAACUCUCUUAUUAGCCCUUACUCUAUCUCUCUCCUUCACCUUGUC
rnacentral:lncRNA from 1 species